rnacentral:rRNA from 1 species
AGAAUCUUUCGCAAUGCCCGAAAGGGUGACGAAGCGACGCCGCGUGUGGGAAGAAGGCCUUCGGGUUGUAAACCACUGUCGGGAGUUAGGAAAUGUAAGGGUGUUAAUAGUAUCCUUACUUGACUAAGGCUCCGGAGGAAGCCACGGCUAACUCUGUGCCAGCAGCCGCGGUAAUACAGAGGCGGCAAGCGUUGUUCGGAAUUAUUGGGCGUAAAGAGCACGUAGGCGGCCUUGUAAGUCAGUUGUGAAAGCCUUCUGCUUAACGGAAGAACAGCAGCUGAUACUGCAAGGCUAGAGUGCGGAAGGGGAGAGUGGAAUUUCUGGUGGAGCGGUGAAAUGCGUAGAUAUCAGAAGGAACACCGGCGGCGAAGGCGACUCUCUGGUCCGUAACUGACGCUGAGUGUGCGAAAGCUAGGGGAGCAAACGGGAUUAGAUACCCCGGUAGUCCUAGCCGUAAACGAUGGGCACUAAGUAGAGGGGUUUUGAUUAUCUCUCUGCCGGAGCUAACGCAUUAAGUGCCCCGCCUGGGGAGUACGGCCGCAAGGCUAAAACUCAAAAGAAUUGACGGGGGCUCGCACAAGCGGUGGAGCAUGUGGCUUAAUUCGAUGCAACGCGAAGAACCUUACCGGGGUUUGACAUGGUAGAAGUAGGAGCCUGAAAGGGUGACGAACGGUAUCCAGUCCGUGACUAUCACAGGUGUUGCAUGGCUG